rnacentral:rRNA from 1 species
CCUACGGGGGGCUGCAGUGGGGAAUAUUGGACAAUGGGGGCAACCCUGAUCCAGCCAUGCCGCGUGUGUGAAGAAGGCCCUCGGGUUGUAAAGCACUUUCAGUGAGGAAGAACGCCUGGUGGUUAAUACCCAUCAGGAAAGACAUCACUCACAGAAGAAGCACCGGCUAACUCCGUGCCAGCAGCCGCGGUAAUACGGAGGGUGCGAGCGUUAAUCGGAAUUACUGGGCGGAAAGCGCGCGUAGGUGGCUUGAUAAGCCGGUUGUGAAAGCCCCGGGCUCAACCUGGGAACGGCAUCCGGAACUGUCAAGCUAGAGUGCAGGAGAGGAAGGUAGAAUUCCCGGUGUAGCGGUGAAAUGCGUAGAGAUCGGGAGGAAUACCAGUGGCGAAGGCGGCCUUCUGGACUGACACUGACACUGAGGUGCGAAAGCGUGGGUAGCAAACAGGAUUAGAUACCCCGGUAGUC